rnacentral:rRNA from 1 species
UACAGAGGGUGCUAGCGUUGUUCGGAAUCAUUGGGCGUAAAGGGCGUGUAGGCGGUUUGUUAAGUCAUGUGUGAAAUCCCUCGGCUCAACCGGGGAACGACGCAUGAAACUGGCAAGCUAGAGUACCAAAGAGGGGGGUGGAAUUCCCGGUGUAGCGGUGAAAUGCGUAGAUAUCAGGAGGAACACCGGUGGCGAAGGCGGCAUCCUGGACCGACAUUGACGCUGAUGAGCGAAAGCUAGGGGAGCAAACGGGAUUGAGAUACCCGUGGUAAUCCGAGA